rnacentral:rRNA from 1 species
AGGGACUAGAUGAAUGAUUAUAACAAUGGCUUUAGUGGCGGACUGGUGAGUAACGCGUAGGGAACCUGCCUAACAGAGGGGAAUAACAGUGAGAAAUCAUUGCUAAUACCGCAUAUGCUCACAGUACCACAUGGUACAGUGAGGAAAGGAGUAAUCCGCUGAUAGAUGGGCCUGCGUCUGAUUAGCUAGUUGGUUAGGUAAAAGCUGACCAAGGCAACGAUCAGUAGCCGGACUGAGAGGUUAAACGGCCACAUUGGGACUGAGAUACGGCCCAGACGUCCUACGGGAGGCAGCAGUCGGGAAUAUUGCGCAAUGGGAAGGAAACUCUGACGCAGUGACGCCGCGUAUAGGAAGAAGGUUUCCGGAUUGUAAACUAUUGUCGUUAGGGAAGAUAAAAGACAGUACCUAAGGAGGAAGCCCCGGCUAACUAUGUGCCAGCCGCCGC